CCCGCGACAAGCGGAGGAGUCAUGUGGUUUAAUUCGAUGAUACGCGAGGAACCUUACCUGGGCUCGAACGUAAGAUGACUGUAGGUGAAAGCUUACAUCUCUUCGGAGCAUUUUACGAGGUGCUGCAUGGUUGUCGUCAGCUCGUGCCGUGAGGUGUCGGGUUAAGUCCCAUAACGAGCGCACCCUACCUUUAGUUGCCAUCAGGUAAUGCUGGGGACUCUAAAGGAACUGCCUACGCAAGUAGUGAGGAAGCGGGGAUGACGUCAAAUCAGCACGGCCCUUACGUCCAGGGCUACACACGUGCUACAAUGGCCGAUACAGAGGGCAGCUACCUGGUGACAGGAUGCAAAUCUCCAAAGUCGGUCUCAGUUCGGAUCGGAGUCUGCAACCCGACUCCGUGAAGUUGGAUUCGCUAGUAAUCGCGCAUCAGCCAUGGCGCGGUGAAUACGUUCCCGGGCCUU
rnacentral:rRNA from 1 species